rnacentral:rRNA from 1 species
AACGAACGCUGGCGGCAGGCCUAACACAUGCAAGUCGAACGCUCCGCAAGGGGGAGUGGCGCACGGGUGAGUAACACGUGGGAACCUACCUUCUGGUACGGAACAACCAAGGGAAACUUUGGCUAAGACCGUAUACGACCUCCGGGUGAAAGAUUGAUCGCCGGAAGAGGGGCCCGCGUCCGAUUAGGUAGUUGGUGAGGUAACGGCUCACCAAGCCUUCGAUCGGUAGCUGGUCUGAGAGGAUGACCAGCCACACUGGGACUGAGACACGGACCAGACUCCUACGGGAGGCAGCAGUAAGGAAUAUUGGACAAUGGCCGCAAGGCUGAUCCAGCCAUGCCGCGUGCAGGAUGAAAGUGCUCAGCACUGUAAACUGCUUUUGUUUGGGAAAAACCCCUGCAUUCUUGCGGGGCUGAUGGUACCAAAAGAAUAAGGGACGGCUAACUUCGUGCCAGCAGCAGCCGCUGUAAC